UUUCCUCUUGUGGUUUCAUGACUAUCUUUAGUGUUACAUUUGAGUUGACUUUUUAUUUGUGUAUCAAUUGUAGAUUUUUGGUGUGCAGUUACCCUGAAGUUUUGAUAUAGGAGUCUAUAUAUAUACAUGAGAUUGUUUUAAGUUGUUGGUCUCUUAAACUGCAAGUGCAUCUCCAUCUGCAAGUGCAUCUCCAUUUUCCUACAUUUGCACCCACCUCUUCUCGUGAUUUCUGAUUUUAGCAGCAUAUUUGUGCAUGGAUGAUUUCCUACCUUUACUGUACAUAUGCCUUUCCUGGGGAGCCUUGUCAUUCGUGGCAUUUUUGUUUCUGGUUGUGGCCUUUUCUUUUCUGCCUAGAGAAGUUCCUUUAGUAUUUGUUGUAAAGCUGGUUUAGGGUUGCUGAAUUCUCUUAGCUUUGGCUUAUCUGUAAAGCUUUUGAUUUCUCCUUCAAAUCUGAAUGAGAGCCUUGCUGGAUAAAGUCAUCUUGGUUGGAGGUUUCUUCCUUUCAUCAGGUUAAGUAUGUCGUGCCAGUCCCUUCUGGCCUGCAGAGUUUCUGCUGAAAAAUCUGCUGAUAACCUUAUCAGGGUUCCCUUGUAUGUUCUUUGUUUGUUUUCCCUAGCUGCUUUCAGUAUUUUUUCUUUGUCUUGAAUUUUGGUCAGUUUGGUUCAUAUGUUUCUCGGGGUGUUCUGCCUUGGGUUUAUUUUCUAUGGUACUUAUAGUGCUUCCUGGAUUUGAGCUAAGUGGUUCCUUUCCUGUGUUAGUUUUUGGCUAUUAUCUUUUGGACUUUUUUCUGUCCCCUUUUCUCUCUCUUCUCCUUCUGGCACCCCUAUAAUAUGGAUGUUGGUGUGUUUAAUGUUGUCCCAGAGUUCUCUGAGACUGUUUUCAUUUCUUUUCCAUUAUUUUUCUCUUUUCUGUUCUGCAUCAGUGAGGUGGAUCAGUGACCUCCACCUUGCUUAUUCGUUCUUCUGCCUCCUGUAUUCUGCUGUUGGUUGCUUCUAAUGAAUGUUUUAUUUCAGUUAUUGUAUUUUUCAUCUCUGCUUGCUUAAGUUUUAAAUCUUGUAUUUCUUUGCUCAGUGUUUCCUGUAAAUUAUCAGUCUCUGCCUCCAGUUUACUUCCAGUGUCUCGCAUCAUCUUCAGCAUCAUCAGUCUAAAGUCUUUUUCCUGGAGGCUGAUAAUCUCCAGAGCACUUAGCUGUUUUUCCGAGACUUUUUCUUGUUCCCUCAUCUGUGUUAUAAUUCUCUGCCUUUUCAUAUUUAUAGGUUUUUGGUGUGGUCUUUUUUUGCAGACAAUAGAGUUGAAGCCUCUCUUAUUUCUGAUGUCUGCCCCCCUUGUGGCUGAAGUUGGUAUGGGGGGCUUGCUAUAGGCUUCCUGAUGUGAGAGACUGGUGCCUGCCUACUGGUAGGUAGGGAUGAUGCCUAUCCCUCUGGUGGGUGGGGCUUUGUCCCUGUGUGCCUGGUGGGUCUUUAGACAGCCUGUUUACCAAUGGCUGGGUCUGUGAUCCCACCUAGAUUAUUGUUUGGUCUGGGGCUUCUCAGAGCUGAUGGGUGGGACCAGAUUUUCCCAAAACUGCCACCUCUAGAGGAAUACAAGCUGAUGACUAUUCCCAAGAGCUUUGCCUCCAAUGUCCUUCCCCCACAAUGAGCCACAGUCACCCCGUUUUCCCAAGAAAUCCUCCAAGAACUGCAGUCAGGUCCAACCCAGAUUCCUAUGGGGCCUCUGCUUUGCCCUGGGACCCAGUGCACAUGAAAACCUGUGUGCGCCUUUCAAGAAUGGGAUCUCCCUGGAGUUCCCGUCAUGGCUCAGUGGUUAACGAAUCUGACUAGGAACCAUGAGGUUGCGGGUUCGAUCCCUGGCCUUGCUCAGUGGGUUAAGGAUCUGGCGUUGCCGUGAGCUGUGGUGUAGGUUGCAGAUGUGGCUCGGAUCCCAUGUUGCUGUGGCUCUGGUGUAGGCCGGCGGCUACAGCUCUGAUUCGACCCCUACCUGGGAACCUCCAUAUGCCACGGGUGCACCCCUACAAUGCAAAAAAAAAAAAAAAAACAAAACCCAAAAAAACCUGACCAGUUUGUAUGCAGGAGUGAAAGAGAAGAGGUCAAAAAUUUGAGGACUUGAUGAAGAGUGCUUCUCGACUCAAAGCAUAAAUUAAAAAAUCAAGAAGGCCUCUGAGGAACAAAAGAGGGUACGGCUGAAGCUAAGGCAGGGUCCUGAUACCCACAGUUAAAACAUCUGAAUGGAUUAGAGCCUCAGAGCAGAGACCCACAGAAAAGUGGACACACAAUAAAUGCUCUCAGUUGAAUAAAAUGUUUGGGGGAAAAGAGACAGAGACAGAGCAGCUCUUCCAGCAGGCCUCUAGUAUUAGCAUUAAGGAUCUAGAUCCCUAUAAAGAACUCAAGAGGACAGGCUACCUUGCAUAGUGAGCUAAAAGGAACCACCAGAAGCCUACAAAGUUGUGCUGCCAAGAAACAAGGAAAAACCAUGAGCCCAGAUUAAAAUCAAUUGACUUAAAAGUACACUCACGUCUCCUAUCUUCUAUGUGCAAGCAGCAGCCCGUGAGGCACUUCGGCUCCCAAAAGGCUUAUCCUCCAACAUCUACUUGAGAUGAGGCUAAAGAAGACGAUGGAAAGGAGGAAUCUCCUAGAUUCAAUAUCUGGACCCACAAAACCCAGACAGUUGUCUGGUACCCAGAUAAGAAUAUUCCCCACAUCCAGGGGAAGAGGACCUUAUAAUGCCAGCCUGGUGGGAUCUGUGAGUUGCUCCAGGUUAGGGACUGCUGUGUUUCCAUUAUCCGAAGGGGAUGUUUGCUGCGGUUAUCAGGCCUCUGUUAUUCCAACGUAUGAUGAAUGUGUGUGUGGUGGGGGGAGGGGUGCAGAUAAAUGUUUUCACUCACAGAUCUCCAGAUGAAGAGAAAGCAUAUCCAGACCUGAUGUAGAGAAUUAUGUGUAUCACCUGGAAAUCCUAAUACUUUCAGCUUGUUACUCCUUAGCUGGGCCUUGCAGGAUGGGUUCACUGGGGAGGAGAUGAAUACAUUUUGUCUGUGGGAAGGAACAGUGAGCCAACUCUUUGGCUGACCAGAAGGGCAGUAUCUGUCUAUUACUAUUGUCUGUGAAAUAUUUUUUUGUUGUUGUUGUUCUUUUCCAUCUGGUCAUAUGGCAGGAUUGUAUCUCCUGGUCAACUAUAUGGUGAGGUAGAGCCAUGUAACUUGUUCUGGCCAGUGAACUGUGAGCUGAGGUGACACAGAACCUCAUGCCUGGCUUCUAGCCAUAGCAUCUGAAUAAAUGAUACAGGAUAUGAGCUCUCCCAGCGCUCUUUAUUAUAAUGUCCAGCAAUGUUCAGAAUGGAGGUGGUCCCGUCAGCUGGAUCCUGGAGUGAGGUCAUGUAGAACAGAACACCCAUAGCAACCCAGCAGACGAUGCAGUGCCAGAAUAAAGCUACCAAGAUUUCAGGACUGUAUGUUUACAUUAUAACCUUGCCGAUCUUGUCUGAUAAAUAGAGGAAAACCCUUAGAGCCACUCAACAUUUGAGUCCGAGGCAGGUUAAUAGAUCAACUAGUUCAAGUUUCUUCUACAAAUGAUAAACAUGAGGUCUACAGUUAAGUGACCUGUCUAAUCACACAGUAACCACAUGGUAGAAGAAUCAUUAUCCUCAUGUAAUUCUAAAUUACAAUGGGAGUUAUGUUCCUAAUCUCUAAACACAGCUCUGGGACAGACUGAACUAAAAACAUAUGAAUAAAUUAGCAAUGGGCCAAUCCAGUCAUUCACUCAACAGAUAAUGGAAGCAUUAAGCACCAAUGCUAAAGGUACCUGGAGCUCAGAAUUAUGUAGUAAAGGCUAAUCAAAACACUACACACAGGGUGGGGGAAAAAUGUAAUUGUAAUGUAUACAUGUAAGGAUAACCUAACCCUCUUGCUGUACAGUGGGAAAAUAAAAAAAAUUAUGUAAAAAAAAAAUUAAAAAAAAAAAUAAAAAAAAAAAAAAAAAAAAAAACCACUACACAUACGGGAGUUCCAUAUGUGUUGGAUUAAGAAUCCAACCUCAAGGAGUUCCCGUAGUGGCUCAGCAGAACCGAAUCCAACUAGCAACCAUGAAGUUGCGGGUUCAAUCCCUGGCCUUGGUCAGUGGGUUAAGGAUCUAGCAUCGCUGUAAGCUGUAGGUCGCAGACAAGGCUCGGAUCUUGUGUUGCUGUGGCGUCAGCUCUGAUUCAACCCCUAGCCUAGAAAUUUCUAUAUGCCUCAGGUGCAGCCCUGAAAAGGAAAAAAAAAAAUGUAUCCAACUGCAGUGGCUCAGGUCACUGCGGGGGCAUGGGUUUGAUCCCUGGCCCAGUGCAGUGGGUUAAAGGAGCUGGCAUUGCCACAGCUGUGGCUCAGAUCCUGGCCUGGAAACUUCCACAUGCCUCUGCUGUGGCCAUUAAAAAAAAAAAAAAAACAACCUAGAAUGGAAGUUUACAACAGUAACUGCUAGGAAAGAUACAUUAUGGGAGCAUGUAACAGACCUAUCCUAAUGGGUAGAUAGAUAUCUAAGAAGUGACCUUGAACUGAGAUCUGGGGGAUCAGCAGGAGAUUACCAUACCAACCCGCAGAGGAAUACUUUCAGUACAUGCUAAUAAAUAAGAAAUGAUCCAAAUGAUCCUGUGAUUGAAGGAACCUGGAGGCUUUAGAGGCGCAAAAAGGAGGCAAGGGCCAGAUUACAAAUUCUGUAAGGCCUCAUAUAUAAUCCACUUUAAGAGCAAUAGGAACCCUUUACAGGUCUUGAGCAGGAAGUGACACAAUGAGAUUUCAGUUUUCAAAAGACCACUGGUUGUGUAAAUACCCAGGAAGGCAGCAACUGCAGUCUUCAGAAGACUCAUUAGAAAGGUACUGAAAUCCAGGCAAGAAAUGUUAUCCCUGAAUUAGGGACAUGGCACUAAAGAUGAUUACAUAUGAACUAUUUAAGAAAUUAAACACCAGUACACUGGAAUUUUAUUCAGGAUAUUUUAAAACUCCUGCUAGCUGAUCUCAACUUUCAUCCUAGUUCUCUUAUUUCUCCACUGUGGUAUACAGUAAAUCCAAAUACAUUAAACCAAGUGAAAGGACAGCAUACACCAAUACCAUAUGGCUAGACUACUAUUUAUUUCACAAGGAUGCCUCUCCAAAGGCUCCAGCAACACUUUUAGAAGAUAUAUAUAUUCUAUUAUUUCCCAAAUGAUAAGGCAGGCUACUUAGUGAAAACUUGCUAGAACAGAUCGUAGAAAUCAGAUUUUAAAAUUCAAAUUUAAUAUUUAUUCCAGGAAGGACUUAAAAUGCUUGGGUCCAGAAACAAAGGAACAUUAUAGUUUUCAAAUUGGAGUCUUGCUCGUGAUAUAAUUUAUAAGGCGUCCUUUAGAAAUAAGAGUUGUAAAUAUGAGCAAAAAUUAAUAUUCAACUGAGAAAUUUCAUACGGAAAAAAUGCAGUCCUAAAAAUAAGAAGACCAGGAAAAAAAAGUUAAUUCUAUCUCCAGCAUUUCUUUAUUCUGUUCAUCUUCAAAAAAAAAGAACAGGGGAGUUUGCAUCAUGGCGCAGUGGAUACGAAUAGGACUAGCAACCAUGAGGUAGCGGGUUCGAUCUCUGGCCUUGCUCAGGGGGUUAAGGAUCCAGCACUGCCGUGAGCUGUGGUGUAGGUCGCAGACACGGCUCAGAUCUGGUGUUGUUGUGGCUGUGCCAAAGGCUGACAGCUGUAGCUUGGAUUAGACCUCUAGCCUGGGAACUUCCAUAUGCCGACGGUGUGACCCUAAAAAGACAAAAAGACAAAAAGAAAAGAAAAGAAAAAAAAAAAAGAACAAAAAUGGUUCACUGCUAUAAAAAGAUAGGAGGAAUUUAUGUAUUCUACAAAAUCACAGUAGGAAAGUUCAGACAAAGCAGAACUCACCAGAUGUUUUUAAAUGGUGUACAGAAAAAACCCAAGACAAAGGAAUCAAGGAAUGUAUUUUUAUGAAAUUGAUUCUAUGAUACUUUCUGAUACACAGAAAAAAGACCACUUUCAUUUUAUUAGAAUUGCAUUACAAAGGAAAAAUUCACCAAGGGAAAAAAAAUUUAUAUAGAAUUUUCACAGUGUCAAGAGGCCUCUGUGAAAACUGAAAAGGAAACUUCAAAGAAGAUAAUAAAAAGAAAAUUGCAACCAAAAUAUUGGUUUUCAAGAUACUUUCAAAUCAGAGAGAAAUAAUUUUAAGGCAAAAAUUUUGGAGGAAAAUAACUGAUUUUGAUUUUGCAUGAUUUUACCUGUAUUUACCUCAGAUGAGGGGACUAAAAAGAGAUGACUUUGGAGUUCACACUGUGGUGCAGUGGGUUAAGAAUCUGAGUGGAGUGGCCUGGGUCGCCGCAGAGGCCCAGGUUUGGAUACCCAGCCUGGUGCAAUGGGUUAAAGGAUCCAGUGUUUGGAUUCAAUCCCUG
rnacentral:lncRNA from 1 species